GAUGAAGAACGCAGCGAAAUGCGAUAAGUAGUGUGAAUUGCAGAAUUCAGUGAAUCAUCGAAUCUUUGAACGCACAUUGCGCCCUUUGGUAUUCCUUAGGGCAUGCCUGUUCGAGCGUCAUUUACAAAUUCAAGCUCAGCUUGGUGAUGGGUGUCUGUCCCGCUUCGCGCGCGGACUCGCCCCAAAGGUAUUGGCAGCGGUCGUGCCAGCUUCUCGCGCAGCACAUUGCGCUUCUCGAGGCGGUCGAUCGGCGUCCACGAAGCUCACCUCCACCGUUUGACCUCGGAUCAGGUAGGGAUACCCGCUGAACUUAAGCAUAUCAAUAAGCGGAGGA
rnacentral:misc_RNA from 1 species